GAUGAACGCUGGCGGCGUGCCUAAUACAUGCAAGUCGAGCGAACAGACGAGGAGCUUGCUCCUUUGACGUUAGCGGCGGACGGGUGAGUAACACGUGGGUAACCUACCUAUAAGACUGGGAUAACUUCGGGAAACCGGAGCUAAUACCGGAUAAUAUUUCGAACCGCAUGGUUCGAUAGUGAAAGAUGGCUUUGCUAUCACCUAUAGAUGGACCUGCGCCGUAUUAGCUAGUUGGUAAGGUAACGGCUUACCAAGGCAACGAUACGUAGCCGACCUGAGAGGGUGAUCGGCCACACUGGAACUGAGACACGGUCCAGACUCCUACGGGAGGCAGCAGUAGGGAAUCUUCCGCAAUGGGCGAAAGCCUGACGGAGCAACGCCGCGUGAGUGAUGAAGGUCUUCGGAUCGUAAAACUCUGUUAUUAGGGAAGAACAAACGUGUAAGCAACUGUGCACGUCUUGACGGUACCUAAUCAGAAAGCCACGGCUAACUACGUG
rnacentral:rRNA from 1 species